UACGUAGGGUGCGAGCGUUGUCCGGAAUUACUGGGCGUAAAGCGCGCGCAGGUGGUCUUUCAAGUCAGUGGUGAAAGCCCGGAGCUCAACUCCGGAAAUGCCAUUGAAACUGUGAGACUUGAGGACGAGAGAGGUGAGUGGAAUUCCCAGUGUAGAGGUGAAAUUCGUAGAUAUUGGGAAGAACACCGGUGGCGAAGGCGGCUCACUGGCUCGUAUCUGACGCUGAGGAGCGAAAGCCAGGGGAGCAAACGGG
rnacentral:rRNA from 1 species